UAAGGCUGGUGUCGUGACGGUUCCCUUCAGGCAGAGGCCUGGCGGGAUCAAAAGGGAACACGGUGCGGCGUACCCAUCAGGGACCAAAUCCGUGGCUGCCCCCGCAACUGUAAGCGGUGGGCGCUCUCGAUAAGCCACUGCGUCCUCGGGCGCGGGAAGGCGGGGGCGCUGCAUUCACCGCGAGCCAGGAGACCUGCCGGCACAUGAGGGCGCCC
rnacentral:ncRNA from 2 species